GGCCGCAUGGCGGAACAGGUAGACGCAGUAGACUCAAAAUCUGCCGGCAGCAAUGCCAUCUCGGUUCGAUCCCGAGUGCGGCUA
rnacentral:tRNA from 1 species